GAGUUUGAUCCUGGCUCAGAACGAACGCUGGCGGCAGGCCUAAUACAUGCAAGUCGAGCGCGCCCUUCGGGGUGAGCGGCGGACGGGUGAGUAACGCGUGGGAAUAUGCCCUUCUCUAAGGAAUAGCCUCUGGAAACGGAGAGUAAUACCUUAUACGCCCUUUGGGGGAAAGAUUUAUCGGAGAAGGAUUAGCCCGCGUUAGAUUAGGUAGUUGGCGGGGUAAUGGCCUACCAAGCCUACGAUCUAUAGCUGGUUUGAGAGGAUGAUCAGCCACACUGGGACUGAGACACGGCCCAGACUCCUACGGGAGGCAGCAGUAGGGAAUCUUAGACAAUGGGGGCAACCCUGAUCUAGCCAUGCCGCGUGUGUGAUGAAGGCCCUAGGGUCGUAAAGCACUUUCGCCAGAGAUGAUAAUGACAGUAUCUGGUAAAGAAACCCCGGCUAACUCCGUGCCAGCAGCCGCGGUAAUACGAAGGGACCUAGCGUAGUUCGGAAUUACUGGGCUUAAAGAGUUCGUAGGUGGUUGAAAAAGUUGGUGGUGAAAUCCCAGAGCUUAACUCUGGAACUGCCAUCAAAACUUUUCAGCUAGAGUAUGAUAGAGGAAAGCAGAAUUUCCAGUGUAGAGGUGAAAUUCGUAGAUAUUAGAAAGAAUACCAAUUGCGAAGGCAGCUUUCUGGAUCAUUACUGACACUGAGGAACGAAAGCAUGGGUAGCGAAGAGGAUUAGAUACCCUCGUAGUCCAUGCCGUAAACGAUGUGUGUUAGACGUUGGAAAUUUAUUUUCAGUGUCGCAGGGAAACCGAUAAACACACCGCCUGGGGAGUACGACCGCAAGGUUAAAACUCAAAUGAAUUGACGGGGACCCGCACAAGUAGUGGAGCAUGUGGUUUAAUUCGAAGAUACGCGCAGAACCUUACCAACACUUGACAUGUUCGUCGCGACUCUAAGAGAUUAGAGUUUUCGGUUCGGCCGGACGAAACACAGGUGCUGCAUGGCUGUCGUCAGCUCGUGUCGUGAGAUGUUGGGUUAAGUCCCGCAACGAGCGCAACCCUCACUUUUAGUUGCCAUCAUUAAGUUGGGCACUCUGAAAGAACCGCCAGUGAUAAGCUGGAGGAAGGUGGGGAUGACGUCAAGUCCUCAUGGCCCUUACGUGUUGGGCUACACACGUGCUACAAUGGCAUCUACAACAGGAAGCAAAACGGCAACGUUAAGCAAAUCCCGAAAAGAUGCCUCAGUUCGGAUUGCACUCUGCAACUCGAGUGCAUGAAGCUGGAAUUACUAGUAAUCGUGGAUCAGCGUGCCACGGUGAAUGCGUUCCCGGGUCUUGUACACACCGCCCGUCACACCAUGGGAGUUGGUUCUACCUUAAGGCAAGGUUUUAAACCCUUGACCACGGUAUAGUCAGCGACUGGGGUGAAGUCGUAACAAGGUAACC
rnacentral:rRNA from 1 species